rnacentral:rRNA from 1 species
CGUCUAGGCGGCCUUUUAAGUCUGAUGUUAAAAUGCGGGGCUCAACUCCGUAUUGCGUUGGAAACUGGAAGGCUAGAGUAUCAGAGAGGUGGGCGGAACUACAAGUGUAGAGGUGAAAUUCGUAGAUAUUUGUAGGAAUGCCGAUUGGGAAGCCAGCUCACUGGAUGAAUACUGACGCUGAAGCGCGAAAGCGUGGGGAGCAAACG